CAGGCAAAGAAGAUUGUGUCCUGUGUAGGCUGCAACACUAUAGCACCUUAGACAGAGCAGUUCAGGCAGAAACCCAGGGAGUGAAAAAGGAGCUCUGGAAAGGCUGCUAGGGCGGAGUAGAGUGCUGUGGCCAUGGAGAAGUAGCCCAGGGAAAUGCAGCAGUAGUCGAGGCAAAGGAAUGCAGUAGGCAACUGCAGUUCAGAGGGUCCCUGGCUGGGACCUGGAGCAGUGGGUGAACCCAGGUCCCCCACACUCACCACUGGGGAAGUAACUGGACAGUUGACUGCAGAUCCCCCAGAAGGGGGGGGAAGCACAGAUAGUGACACAGUUGGAGGGCUGUCCCGUGAAAGGAAACUACAGUCCUUGGAGUGACGUGGGUCCGAGAGCAGACGUGAUGCACCAUUGGGAGAGGGCAUACCGACCUGUGGAGCUAAUCCUCCAGUAGGAGGUGCCACCAUGGAUGGGCUAGAUCUGUGGACAUUCUUACUCAAAGAAAAGAAUUUUUCAGGCAUUAUUAAUAAGAACAAGAUCCUGGAAGAGACCCUGGGAACACUGGCCAGACUGAAAGGUUAUAGAACUACAAAAUCUCAUCCUCUUCAACCUUAUUUUCUUCAAUAGAUUAGAAGAGAGAAAACAAGCUUUCCUUCUUUUUCAACUCCCAAUCAUUUUUUCAGCUUUGAACUAACUAUCAUAGAACGGAAAUUGUUAAACUGAAAUGAAGACAAUAUUCUCCCUGCACCUGCAAGAGACUACUGCUGUCAAAAACUGGCUUAGCAUUUCAACAAACUCUGCUGCUAGGUGCUUAGUUAGUGACUUCCACCAGUUUAGAAUUUGACAUUUCUAAAAAAAAGUUGGCAACAAACUUGCUGAAUUGAAUAUUAUAUUUUAUUUAAGAUUAUCUUAACCUGAGUAAAUUUAGG